rnacentral:misc_RNA from 1 species
CGAAGGCCAUGGGGUGACUGAUGUCCUUUAUGGAGACUAUAGAUUUAGUGGAAAACUUCCAAGAACAUGGUUUAAAAAUGUAAAUCAGCUACCAAUGAAUGUUGGGGAUUCACACUACGAUCCACUUUUCCCCUUUGGCUUUGGGCUGAAAACUGGGUCUGUUCCAGGUGUUGUGGGAAGGUCAACAUCAGCUGGUGUUGUUGGGAGGCCAUAUAUACCUUUUAUUGUGGUCCUUGUAACAUUCAAUUUGUAUUUCACAGGCAUAAUUUUUAACCUGAAUCACUCAUGAACAAGUAUCCUUAUUUUAGAUAAUUGAAUAGAUUGAUCUGUUUUUCCCGCG